CAGCCGUAAACAAUGUGCGUUAGGUGUGUCGGUAACCACGUGUUACUGAUGCGCCGAAGAGAAAUCGUGAAACGCACCACCUGGGAAGUACGGUCGCAAGGCUGAAACUUAAAGGAAUUGGCGGGGGAGCACCACAACAGGUGGAGCCUGCGGUUUAAUUGGAUUCAACGCCGGAUAUCUCACCGGAUAAGACAGCUGAAUGAUUGUCAAUCUGAAGGUUUUACAUGACUAGCUGAGAGGAGGUGCAUGGCGUCAGUGACU
rnacentral:rRNA from 1 species